GACGAACGCUGGCGGCGUGCUUAACACAUGCAAGUCGAACGGAAAGGCCCUGCUUUUGUGGGGUGCUCGAGUGGCGAACGGGUGAGUAACACGUGAGUAACCUGCCCUUGACUUUGGGAUAACUUCAGGAAACUGGGGCUAAUACCGGAUAGGAGCUCCUGCUGCAUGGUGGGGGUUGGAAAGUUUCGGCGGUUGGGGAUGGACUCGCGGCUUAUCAGCUUGUUGGUGGGGUAGUGGCUUACCAAGGCUUUGACGGGUAGCCGGCCUGAGAGGGUGACCGGCCAAAUUGGGAAUGAGAUACGGCCCAGACUCCUACGGGAGGCAGCAGUGGGGAAUAUUGCAAAAUGGGCGGAAGCCUGAUGCAGCAACGCCGCGUGCGGGAUGAAGGCCUUCGGGUUGUAAACCGCUUUCGCCUGUGACGAAGCGUGAGUGACGGUAAUGGGUAAAGAAGCACCGGCUAACUACGUG
rnacentral:rRNA from 1 species